GCCCUCGUAGAGAAAUGGUAACUCGUCAGCCUCCUAAGCUGAAGAUUGCGGGUAAGCUAGGGUUCGAUCCCACUUGUGUCCA